rnacentral:rRNA from 1 species
GACGAACGCUGGCGGCGUGCCUAAUACAUGCAAGUCGAGCGGACCAAAGGGAGCUUGCUCCUGGAGGUCAGCGGCGAACGGGUGAGUAACACGUGGGCAACCUGCCUGUAAGACUGGGAUAACAUCGAGAAAUCGGUGCUAAUACCGGAUAAUAAAAAGAACUGCAUGGUUCUUUUUUGAAAGAUGGUUUCGGCUAUCACUUACAGAUGGGCCCGCGGCGCAUUAGCUAGUUGGUGAGGUAACGGCUCACCAAGGCAACGAUGCAUAGCCGACCUGAGAGGGUGAUCGGCCACACUGGGACUGAGACACGGCCCAGACUCCUACGGGAGGCAGCAGUAGGGAAUCUUCCGCAAUGGACGAAAGUCUGACGGAGCAACGCCGCGUGAGUGAUGAAGGUUUUCGGAUCGUAAAACUCUAGUUGUUAGGGAAGAACAAGUGCCGUUCGAAAGGGCGGCACCUUGACGGUACCUAACGAGAAAGCCACGGGCUAACUACGUGCCAGCAGCCGCGG